rnacentral:lncRNA from 1 species
GGGACAUUCGGAAUACAUAUGUCGCCAAGGCUUGGGCGACAUGCAAGUAUAACAGCUUGCGUGUAUAGCUUGAGGAGGUGGGCUAUCGUGGACGCUAAAGGAAUGACCAACAGAAGUGUGGGUAAACCGAUGGUGUGUUGGAUCGCUAUGUCUUGACAUGGACAUGAGCGAGACAUGAGGAAAGCAUGCGACGUGGUCGAUGCAGUUGACGUGUCUUAUGCAACGCUUGAUGUAUGGGCGUCAAGGGUUCGUUGCCGGAUGCGGGGUGAUUGUAUUGUCACACGGUAGUGUGACUCGUUGUCUAGUGGAAGACGACACUUGAAGGUAAACCUCUCGCGGAGUUGUGAGAGUCAUGUGAAUCAUGAAGUGGGAGAAGGCUGACCAGGAUUCGAAGGGACCCUGGGCCGCACGGGUGUGCUUUGAAUGGCGAAAUGUGUGUUUCGCUUCCGCCGCGCCGUGCCGCUCGCUCAUCCCGUGACAACAUGCAAACUCAUAUAUGCUAUGACAAUAAGCAUACAUUACAUCAACAAGAAAGAAUGCGUGUUAAAAGAGUCCAGUUUGGGCUAAGACAUUGACUAUGGGUAAAAGUGGGAAGUGUUGAGAUUGGAAAAUUCGUAUGCAAUUUAAAUGGGACACUGUCACCGUGUAGUAAAUGGUGCAGCAAGUCAUGUGGCAUCAAAUGAUGGUUGAUGUUGAAGACAAUUUACUUUCCACCUAAUUAACUGUUUUUUUCUGGUUCACAGACGUAUUGAAAUUGCUUGAGGC